AGCAGCCGCGGUAAUUCCAGCUCCAAUAGCGUAUAUUAAAGUUGUUGCAGUUAAAAAGCUCGUAGUUGAAUUUCGGGGUUAGCAGGUCGGUCGUGCCAUCGGUAUGAACUGGUCUCGCUGAUCCCUCCCUCUUGACGAACUGUGAUGCCAUUAAUUUGGUUUCGCAGGGAAUCAGGACUGUUACUUUGAAAAAUUAGAGUGUUUAAAGCAGGCUCACGCUUGAAUACAUUAGCAUGGAAUAAUGAAAUAGGACGUUUGAUCCUAUUUUGUUGGCUUCUAGGAUUGACGUAAUGAUUAAUAGGGAUAGUUGGGGGCAUUAGUAUUCAAUUGUCAGAGGUGAAAUUCUUGGAUUUAUUGAAGACUAACUACUGCGAAAGCAUUUGCCAAGGAUGUUUUCAUUAAUCAAGAACGAAAGUUAGGGGAUCGAAGACGAUCAGAUACCGUCGUAGUCUUAACCAUAAACUAUGCCGACUAGGGAUCGGAUGAUGUUAAUUUUUUAAUGACUCUACG
rnacentral:misc_RNA from 1 species